rnacentral:rRNA from 1 species
GCACAAGCGGUGGAGCAUGUGGUUUAAUUCGACGCAACGCGCAGAACCUUACCAGCCCUUGACAUGUCUGGGACCGGUCGCAGAGACGCGACCUUCUCUUCGGAGCCCGGAACACAGGUGCUGCAUGGCUGUCGUCAGCUCGUGUCGUGAGAUGUUGGGUUAAGUCCCGCAACGAGCGCAACCCCCGUCCUUAGUUGCUACCAUUUAGUUGAGCACUCUAAGGAGACUGCCGGUGAUAAGCCGCGAGGAAGGUGGGGAUGACGUCAAGUCCUCAUGGCCCUUACGGGCUGGGCUACACACGUGCUACAAUGGCGGUGACAAUGGGACGCUAAGGGGCAACCCUUCGCAAAUCUCAAAAAGCCGUCUCAGUUCGGAUUGGGCUCUGCAACUCGAGCCCAUGAAGUUGGAAUCGCUAGUAAUCGUGGAUCAGCAUGCCACGGUGAAUACGUUCCCGGGC